GAGAAGAGACCUGGAACGGCUCAUCUUCUAAAGGCUGUAGGGGCCAUGCUUCCCUACGGUGCCACGGGAUGGGACUGCGGCCGAUCAGGUUGAUGGCGGGGUAACGGCCCACCAUGCCUAUAACCGGUGCGGGCCCUGAGAGGGGGAGCCCGGAGAUGGAUCCUGAGACAAGGAUCCAGGCCCUACGGGGCGCAGCAGGCGCGAAACCUUCGCUAUGUGCGAAAGCAUGACGAGGUCACCCCGAGUGUCGGCUGCUGAAGCUGACUUUUCCUUGGUCCAAAAGGCCAGGGGAAUAAGGGGAGGGCAAGAUUGGUGUCAGCCGCCGCGGUAAUACCAACUCCCCGAGUGGUCGGGACGAUUACUGGGCUUAAAGCGUCCGUAGCCGGUCCGAAAAGUCCUCCGUUAAAUCCGAUGUCCGAAGCAUCGGGCUGCGGAGGAUACUAUCGGACUUGGGAGUGGAAGAGGCCGACGGUACUCCCUGGGGAGGGG
rnacentral:rRNA from 1 species